rnacentral:snRNA from 1 species
AUACUUACGUGGUGCCGAGGCAUCGCUGAUCCCGGAGGACCAUCCCCCGGGUCGAGGCGCGGGCAUUGUACUCCGCUCGCAUUGACCCCUGCCACUGCCCCAAACUGGGGCAGAUGGGGCAUGCAAAUUGCUAAAAUCCGGUUCAACUCAACAGAGGGCGCCUGG